rnacentral:rRNA from 1 species
GACGAACGCUGGCGGCGUGCUUAACACAUGCAAGUCGAGCGAUGAAGUUCCUUCGGGAACGGAUUAGCGGCGGACGGGUGAGUAACACGUGGGUAACCUGCCUCAUAGAGGGGAAUAGCCUUUCGAAAGGAAGAUUAAUACCGCAUAAGAUUGUAGUUUCGCAUGAAACAGCAAUUAAAGGAGUAAUCCGCUAUGAGAUGGACCCGCGUCGCAUUAGCUAGUUGGUGAGGUAACGGCUCACCAAGGCGACGAUGCGUAGCCGACCUGAGAGGGUGAUCGGCCACAUUGGGACUGAGACACGGCCCAGACUCCUACGGGAGGCAGCAGUGGGGAAUAUUGCACAAUGGGGGAAACCCUGAUGCAGCAACGCCGCGUGAGUGAUGACGGUCUUCGGAUUGUAAAGCUCUGUCUUCAGGGACGAUAAUGACGGUACCUGAGGAGGAAGCCACGGCUAACUACGUGCCAGCAGCCGCCGUAAGAC